rfam:Fukomys damarensis contig149818, whole genome shotgun sequence.
CUACUGGCUCUUCUCAGAGCCAUUAUGUUUAUGAACAUUUUUAUAU